GCAACUUACAUGUCAAUUAAGCCAAAAACAAGCCCAAUUUCUGCAUUUUUUUUGCAGGUUUGACACGUCUGGUCACGACCUGUGCUCAGCACAGGACAUGAUAGGCUUUAGACUACCGUUAUGCAUACCCAGUCUUGGGGCUAGCCAAAGCCAAGUCUUUGCCAAGGGGCAUUACCGGAGCAAAGAAAUGGUCUGGCCAAUCCCUUCCAUGGCCAACCCCCUGCUAUGGAGAUUGCAAAGGUUACACCUGGGGAUUCCCCCAUCCUUAGAUGGCUGGGUAAGCCAGCUUUACGACCCCUUUGCACUGGUGAAGUUGUCCAAAGGGGUCAUAGAGCCAGGACCUGGACCUACAAGUUUACAAGACUACAUGGUGAGGAGUGGCUGUAUUUCAGUGAAGGCUGAAGUAAUUUCGGUGUAUGGUUUGUGAAGUGCACUGGGGUCUUUUGGGAUGAAAGGCGUGAUAUAAAUAUGAGUCCAAACCAGAAUUCCAGAUCUGAAGAUCCCUUAAACUUUGGAAAAGUUCUGCCCUGGAUCAAAUCUUGGUGGCUCGAGCUCAUCUCUACUCAUUACAUUUGUUCUGUUUUGAGCUGCAAAUCUUUCACCUCUUAUCCCAGGAGCAAGAAGACAGUAUUAUUUGUUUACUUACACUUUAUUACUUAAAUUUCAUGUGGACCUGUGUAUGGAUAAAAAAAUUGUAUUGCUGACCAAACUAGAAAAAAAAAUUGCAUCAAGUUUUUGUGAUUGGGAAAUGCAGAUUUUGCCUGCUAUCAUAAAGAGAAGAGAGAGAGAAACGGACCAAACAGCAAACGUUUUGUCUGCUCUGAAGUGUAAUUCACAGAGGACAGCCCCAUUCCAAAGGCCACUGGCUGGAACAGUGCUUCCACAAUGUUCUUAUUCAUUUGCUAAGGAAUAGGGAGGCAUAGAAAGGACAGAGUGGGACCCUGGUUCCUGAGAAACAUGGCCUAGAUCAUCAGCUGGUGUCGGCGUAGCUUCACUGAAGGAUCUGGACCUUUAUACAUUUUUAUAUGUAUAUAUACACAAACACACACAUUUAAUCUGCCCUUGAAUAGGUCAAACUUGGUCCCCUGGCAGAUAUGCUUAUUCGAAAUCGUGGUGUUAUUUUGACUAUGAAAUGCCCUUGACAAGCUUAUAACCUCGGUUUAAGAAUUCUUAUUGCAUCUUUGGAACACUUCCAGGCUUCAUCUUAUCAGGAUAAGAAGAUGUUAGUUCACGCCUUGCUGUCAUCCAGGCUUGACUGUUGUACUUGAUUGCUGAUCAGCAUCUCAUCCCUUCCUAUUUUUUAGUUUUUCUUCUGCUCCUGCGAAAUUCUGCAGCUAAAUUCAGAAAUCAGACUAAACUUGCUUAUAUUACUGGUCCUGAACCUUCAGCUCUGACUGUUACACAGCUGGAGAAUUACUUCUCCUAUGCUCACAAAAUGUACAGUCCGCUUUGCACCACGCUGGCAGAGCUGGUAAUUGCCAUAAGCCCCACAGGCUAUACUAGAGGACGAUAUAAUUUGGAGUCCUGAAAUGUGCAGCUACCAGCAAUUACAAGCACCAUAUACAUAGUAGUGCAGAGCCCUCAUUAGUCCAUACACCAGAAGAGGUAGGGGGCCUUACUUUUGGUCAUCUCCUCAAAGAAAGAAAAAGGGAACUAGGGUAUGUUGCAAACCUUCUUGCAUCUCAGGCUGUAUCCAAAUGCCAGCUGCCACCUGCCCACUUCCCUUAAGUCAGUUGCCAAGUUGUGAUGUGAAAUGAGAUAGUUAAAUUACCCAGUGUAUCUGCUGCUCCUGUUUCCUGUCUGCUAGGUUCUGCAUGAGGCACCAGCUGUAGGCACCUAGGUAUUGUGAUAGGGAAGCCACCAGAGGGCACUUUUGCAUUUCCUAUUAAGGCCCUGCCUUUCAAUGUGUGUGAUCAGAAACUCAGCAAUGCUGCUUUCUUGCCAGCAUGAGAGAAUAAUAAUUAAUACCAAAUGGCAUUUAUAUAGCACCUUCCUUCCCUCUGAGGAGCAUAUAAAAACAUCCUUGUGAUGAAGAAUUCAGGUGAUCUAUUAGAGCAAGCGCUGAAUAAGACUAGAGUCGGUCAGCUCAAAAUGGCAAAAGGGAUUCACCUACAUGAUCACAAGUGGCAGGAAGAUACUGAUGAGAAAGAAAACCUGGGGUAAUAGAGAUUAGAAAGUAACCAUAAGUCAAAUGUCUGGCAGCAACUAUAAAAAAAAAACACUUAAAAAAAACUAUCCUCAAAUAAUGUACAAUAAUUGAUGAUACAUUUCAUUUCUAUAAUGCAAUUCAUCUGAUGAUCUUAAUACACUUUCCAAAUAUUAGCUAUUUAAUCCCCACAUCACCUGGCGAGAUAGUUAAGGGAUAGCCUAUUUGGUAAAAUAUUCAGGGCAAAAUUUUCAAAACUGUGUGCCUGCAGUUAGACUGCUAAAGCCAUCUUUAUUUAAGCACAUAAAUAAAUGGCUGGAUAGUCAGAAGUGCUAAGCAUGUGCAGAUAUCAGAAUUAAUGUAGUAAUAGUAACUUCAUAACAAAGAUUUGUAAUUUCAGUCUUUCAGCACAGGCAACAUAAAGAUUGUCCGUGUCUGUGUUCACAGG